CCUACGGGUGGCAGCAGUGGGGAAUAUUGGACAAUGGGCGCAACCCUGAUCCAGCGACGCCGCGUGAGUGAAGAAGUAUUUCGGUAUGUAAAGCUCUAUUAGCAGGGACGAAAGGAAUGACGGUACCUGACUAAGAAGCCACGGCUAACUACGUGCCAGCAGCCGCGGUAAUACGUAGGGGGCAAGCGUUAUCCGGAUUUACUGGGUGUAAAGGGCGCGUAGGCGGGUACGCAAGUCUGGUGUGAAAGGCGGGGGCUCAACCCGCGGACUGCAUUUGAAACUGUCUAUCUUGAGUGCAGGAGAGGGAAGUGGAAUUCCUGGUGUAGCGGUGAAAUGCGUAGAUAUUAGGAGGAACACCAGUGGCGAAGGCGGCCUACUGGACUGCAACUGACGUUGAGGCUCGAAAGCGUGGGGAGCAAACAGGAUUAGAUACCCUAGUAGUC
rnacentral:rRNA from 1 species